AUGAGCCGGGUAUGACUGUCCUGAUUCCUGUUCUGUGUGUCACCUCAGGCACCAUCUGUCAUGGCAUUCCCUCCAACCACAACCACAGGCAGGAUGGCAUAUGGAAUGCCUCCCCAGGUGAGCUCCAUGAUGAUGACCCAGCCCACCAUGAUGUACUCCCAGCCUGUGAUAAGGCCAGCCAACCCUUUUGGCCCCAACCCAGGUGCACAGAUGCAGUUUAUGUAACCUGAAGGAGGAGGGGUCUUACCCCAAACCCAUUUGAAGAUGAUUUAAAACAAUGUCAACUAUCCAAGCAAAAGUGCAGUUUGCUUCUAAGGAAUCUCUCUCUGAGAAUAAAAAGCCCAACCAGACUUGAUGAACUCACGGUGACUGGGAGCGGCGUCACAGUUGACAUUGGCCCCGCCUUGUCCUGUGGAAGUCCUAGAAGAGAAGGAGCGUACUGCCAUUCAACACCAUGUGGACAGCUUUCAGCCCUACUCUAUCCUGGACUAAGAGAAACACAACAGCUUUCUGACACUGCUGUAUGUACCUGGGAAAAACAGUGAGGGUGGUUGUCACGGUAACACUGGGAGUUGUCUUUUUUUGUUCCUCUUUCUCCAGGUGAGCGAGGGAGAGUCACUUAUUUUGAUUAUCAAUCAUGAUUACCUACAUAAAGCAUCCCCACAUUAGGAAAACAAACUCCUUCAAGACAUGUUUAUGUAUUGUUUGCAGUAGACAUUCCGUAUGUAUUGUUUGUAUUUAUCUAUGAUUACCUACAGAGAAAAUGACAAAAGAAAAAAAAGUCAAUGUAACUUGUCGCUGACCUCCAGGUGGAAGGCCUUCAGAUGUAUUCAUAGGAAUGAUUGAAUGUGGAGUUGGAUUUUGAGUGAUUGAGAUGAUUUUUGGAAAAAUAAGUUAAUAUAAAGUUGAAAGAGAGGCAUUUUGCUGUUGGGUCACUUAAUAUUCUCUUCACCCGCAUGAUGCCUUUUACAGUUAUCUGUGUCACACUGAGGAUAUGUAUAAACAUUUUUUUUUUUAUUCAAUAAAACCAUCAUAACAAUGGGGAAGAUUUCUACAAAAUUGUCGAGGUAACAUAUUUCCCACAUCAGCAGCACUGGAUUUUAUGAUUGAGGCAACCUUGCAUUGGAAAGGAAUCUGCAUUCAUGCUUUUGAGGUUUUUGGCAUGCCAUUUAUUCUCACAUUUAACAAGCUCCUGGCUGCCCUUUUCCAACAGGAAUGUGCAGGGUCCCUCUCAUGCUCAGAUCAUGUUUCAAUAGCAAGCACUGGGGCAUUAAGACAAUGUGGCGGCACCGGGAGGCUCAGGUCACACUGCUGACAGGGGGCAGAAAGGUUUAAUGUUCAGCAGAAUAGAGCACUGUUGAUCGGUGCUUUGUGUAAAUAAAAACUUUUCCUGCCAAUCACAUGAUGGGCGAGUGCAGGUAACAAAGAUGAUCUGAACAUAAAAGUGGCCCUUUAUCCAUAACUGAGCCUAUUUGCUGCGUUGACCCUGCAGAUUCUAUUUUUGUUUGUUUGAUUUUUACGAAUAAAGUGUAAGCGUCAACACUU